GGUCACUCUCAGGUGACACACCCCGGAAUCGGGCUCCCUCCUCUCUGGUUCUGGGUGCAUCACCUGAGAACGGCU
rfam:Myotis lucifugus cont2.30320, whole genome shotgun sequence.